UCUCGACAGACCCCUCACUGCCCGUCUC
rnacentral:sRNA from 1 species